UUGGGUUCGGAAUAACUCUCCGAAAGGAGUGCUAAUAUCGGAUGAUGUCGAAAGACCAAAGAUUUAUCGCCCAGGGAUGAGCCCGCGUAGGAUUAGCUAGUUGGUGAGGUAAAGGCUCACCAAGGCGACGAUCCUUAGCUGGUCUGAGAGGAUGAUCAGCCACACUGGGACUGAGACACGGCCCAGACUCCUACGGGAGGCAGCAGUGGGGAAUAUUGGACAAUGGGCGAAAGCCUGAUCCAGCAAUGCCGCGUGAGUGAUGAAGGCCUUAGGGUUGUAAAGCUCUUUUACCCGGGAUGAUAAUGACAGUACCGGGAGAAUAAGCCCCGGCUAACUCCGUGCCAGCAGCCGCGGUAAUACGGAGGGGGCUAGCGUUGUUCGGAAUUACUGGGCGUAAAGCGCACGUAGGCGGCUUUGUAAGUUAGAGGUGAAAGCCUGGAGCUCAACUCCAGAACUGCCUUUAAGACUGCAUCGCUUGAAUCCAGGAGAGGUGAGUGGAAUUCCGAGUG
rnacentral:rRNA from 1 species